rnacentral:rRNA from 1 species
AUUGAACGCUGGCGGCAUGCUUUACACAUGCAAGUCGAACGGUAACAGGUUAAGCUGACGAGUGGCGAACGGGUGAGUAAUGCAUCGGAACGUGCCCGGUCGUGGGGGAUAACGCAGCGAAAGCUGCGCUAAUACCGCAUACGAUCUGAGGAUGAAAGCGGGGGACCGUAAGGCCUCGUGCGAUCGGAGCGGCCGAUGUCAGAUUAGGUAGUUGGUGGGGUAACGGCUCACCAAGCCAACGAUCUGUAGCUGGUCUGAGAGGACGACCAGCCACGCUGGGACUGAGACACGGGCCAGACUCCUACGGGAGGCAGCAUUGGGGAAUUUUGGACAAUGGGCGAAAGCCUGAUCCAGCAAUGCCGCGUGCAGGAAGAAGGCCUUCGGGUUGUAAACUGCUUUUGUACGGAGCGAAAAGGUCUCCUCUAAUACAGGGGGCUCAUGACGGUACCGUAAGAAUAAGCACCGGCUAACUACGUGCCAGCCGCCGCCGUAA